GAUGAACGCUGGCGGCGUGCUUAACACAUGCAAGUCGAACGGACAGGCCCUGCUUUUGUGGGGUGCUCGAUUGGCGAACGGGUGAGUAACACGUGAGUAACCUGCCCUUGACUUUGGGAUAACUUCAGGAAACUGGGGCUAAUACCGGAUAGGAGCUCCUGCUGCAUGGUGGGGGUUGGUAAGUUUCGGCGGUUGGGGAUGGAUUCGCGGCUUAUCAGCUUGUUGGUGGGGUAGUGGCUUACCAAGCCUUUGACGGGUAGCCGGCCUGAGAGGGUGACCGGCCACAUUGGGACUGAGAUACGGCCCAGACUCCUACGGGAGGCAGCAGUGGGGAAUAUUGCACAAUGGGCGGAAGCCUGAUGCAGCAACGCCGCGUGCGGGAUGACGGCCUUCGGGGUGUGAACCGCUUUCGCCUGUGACGAAGCGUGAGUGACGGUAAUGGGUAAAGAAGCACCGGCUAACUACGUG
rnacentral:rRNA from 1 species